rnacentral:rRNA from 1 species
GAUGAACGCUGGCGGCGUGCCUAAUACAUGCAAGUCGAGCGAACAGAUAAGGAGCUUGCUCCUUUGACGUUAGCGGCGGACGGGUGAGUAACACGUGGGUAACCUACCUAUAAGACUGGGAUAACUUCGGGAAACCGGAGCUAAUACCGGAUAACAUUUGGAACCGCAUGGUUCUAAAGUGAAAGAUGGUUUUGCUAUCACUUAUAGAUGGACCCGCGCCGUAUUAGCUAGUUGGUAAGGUAACGGCUUACCAAGGCGACGAUACGUAGCCGACCUGAGAGGGUGAUCGGCCACACUGGAACUGAGACACGGUCCAGACUCCUACGGGAGGCAGCAGUAGGGAAUCUUCCGCAAUGGGCGAAAGCCUGACGGAGCAACGCCGCGUGAGUGAUGAAGGGUUUCGGCUCGUAAAACUCUGUUAUCAGGGAAGAACAAAUGUGUAAGUAACUGUGCACGUCUUGACGGUACCUAAUCAGAAAGCCACGGCUAACUACGUG